rnacentral:tRNA from 1 species
GCGUAGCUCAGUUGGUUAGAGCACCACCUUGACAUGGUGGGGGUCGUUGGUUCGAAUCCGAUCCCAAUGU